rnacentral:rRNA from 1 species
AAGCGUGCGCAGGCGGUUAUGUAAGACAGAUGUGAAAUCCCCGGGCUCAACCUGGGAACUGCAUUAGUGACUGCAUAGCUGGAGUACGGCAGAGGGGGAUGGAAUUCCGCGUGUAGCAGUGAAAUGCGUAGAUAUGCGGAGGAACACCGAUGGCGAAGGCAAUCCCCUGGGCCUGUACUGACGCUCAUGCACGAAAGCGUGGGGAGCAAACAGGAUUAGAUACCCCCAGU